rnacentral:lncRNA from 1 species
AUGACAAAAACAAAGGGAAAGAAGAGAGGCACCCAAUAUAUGUUGGUCUUUUAGAAAACAUGGAGUUGUUCUUUUGGCCAUGUAUAUGCAAAUCUGUAAGGAACAUGAUAUUGUAGACGUCAAGGAAAUGAGUACUGUUCAAAAAGGAAUGCCCCACAAGUGUUAUUAUGGCAAAACUGGAAGAGUCUAUGAUGUUACCCAACAUGCUGUUGGCAUUGUUGUAAACAAACAAUUUAGGGCAAGAUUCUUGCCAAGAGAAUGUGUGUGUGGAGCACAUUAAGCACUCUAAGAGAGGAGAUCGCUUCCUGAAACGUAUGAAGGAAAAUGAUCAGAUAAAGAAGGAAGCCAAAGAGAAAGGUACUUGGUUCAAUUGAAGUGCCAACCUGCUUCACCCAGAGAAGCACACUUCUAAUGA